GCUUUUGUCAGUGGGUCUUUGCUGCAGACACUCAAAGAGCUGGAGAAGUUCUCCUGUUUCGCAUGCCCGGAGGAAGGGGAGCAAGGUGCAGGGCAGGAGGUGCCACUGUGCUGUGCAAGACUUGGCCUUCCACAAGGGACCUCUGAUGCCCACAUCUUCCCAACUGUGCCAGCAGCAGCCUUCACCUCUCCAGAGCCCAACCGAGGCAGCUCCUCCACGUGGUGCCAGCAGGGAGAUCCCUGUGCUGCUCCAGCUGCAGCCCACGGCAAGGUGAGGUGCAGAGGCAUAGGGAGGGACUUCUGCAGAAGGGAAGUUAAUGGGACAGGACGUGGGCUUAGGGACCCACAGAGGGUCACACACAGCUGCAGCAGUGCAGGAACUGCCGGAUGGAGCCAACAGAGCUGAAGUCAGCCAGUGUCACAUUCAGGCUUGGGAUAGAGACCAGGCCCCAGGAGGGGGAGAGAAGAGUGUUAGGGACACAGUGCCUGCCAGCAUUGUGGAGUACCGGUGCCAUGGCCAGAAUCCCCCCACUGAGAGUACUGAUGGGAGUGAUGCUGCCCUGUCCCCAAAAGAGAGGACAUGCUAUAGCACAUCCCAAACCCCUUGUCAUGUCAAUGCUCAGGAGAAGGACAGCUUUUUGGGGAAACCUGUGUUUCCACCAGGCAGGGACAUUCCAGUCUAAGGCUGGGAUGCCCCCUCGCAAAGGCUGUUUUGUCCCCGGGGACAAAAGUACUCUCCACUUGGGGCAGGAGGUGUUACUUUGUGUGGCCCUACAGCUUGUUGUCUCCUGGAGAAUUGCAAAACCCGGAGCUUCGCUGCAGCUCUAAGAAGCUCAGAAA